rnacentral:rRNA from 1 species
AGUGAACGCUGGCGGUAGGCCUAACACAUGCAAGUCGAACGGCAGCACAGUAAGAGCUUGCUCUUACGGGUGGCGAGUGGCGGACGGGUGAGGAAUACAUCGGAAUCUACUUUUUCGUGGGGGAUAACGUAGGGAAACUUACGCUAAUACCGCAUACGACCUACGGGUGAAAGCAGGGGAUCUUCGGACCUUGCGCGAUUGAAUGAGCCGAUGUCGGAUUAGCUAGUUGGCGGGGUAAAGGCCCACCAAGGCGACGAUCCGUAGCUGGUCUGAGAGGAUGAUCAGCCACACUGGAACUGAGACACGGUCCAGACUCCUACGGGAGGCAGUAGUGGGGAAUAUUGGACAAUGGGCGCAAGCCUGAUCCAGCCAUACCGCGUGGGUGAAGAAGGCCUUCGGGUUGUAAAGCCCUUCUGUUGGGAAAGAAAAGCAGCAGGUUAAUACCCCGCUGUUCUGACGGUACCCAAAGAAUAAGCACCGGCUAACUUCGUG